CCCCGGUAAACGGCGGCCGUAACUAUAACGGUCCUAAGGUAGCGAAAUUCCUUGUCGGGUAAGUUCCGACCUGCACGAAUGGCGUAAUGAUGGCCAGGCUGUCUCCACCCGAGACUCAGUGAAAUUGAACUCGCUGUGAAGAUGCAGUGUACCCGCGGCAAGACGGAAAGACCCCGUGAACCUUUACUAUAGCUUGACACUGAACAUUGAGCCUUGAUGUGUAGGAUAGGUGGGAGGCUUUGAAGUGUGGACGCCAGUCUGCAUGGAGCCGACCUUGAAAUACCACCCUUUAAUGUUUGAUGUUCUAACGUGGACCCGUAAUCCGGGUUGCGGACAGUGUCUGGUGGGUAGUUUGACUGGGGCGGUCUCCUCCUAAAGAGUAACGGAGGAGCACGAAGGUUGGCUAAUCCUGGUCGGACAUCAGGAGGUUAGUGCAAUGGCAUAAGCCAGCUUGACUGCGAGCGUGACGGCGCGAGCAGGUGCGAAAGCAGGUCAUAGUGAUCCGGUGGUUCUGAAUGGAAGGGCCAUCGCUCAACGGAUAAAAGGUACUCCGGGGAUAACAGGCUGAUACCGCCCAAGAGUUCAUAUCGACGGCGGUGUUUGGCACCUCGAUGUCGGCUCAUCACAUCCUGGGGCUGAAGUAGGUCCCAAGGGUAUGGCUGUUCGCCAUUUAAAGUGGUACGCGAGCUGGGUUUAGAACGUCGUGAGACAGUUCGGUCCCUAUCUGCCGUGGGCGCUGGAGAACUGAGGGGGGCUGCUCCUAGUACGAGAGGACCGGAGUGGACGCAUCACUGGUGUUCGGGUUGUCAUGCCAAUGGCACUGCCCGGUAGCUAAAUGCGGAAGAGAUAAGUGCUGAAAGCAUCUAAGCACGAAACUUGCCCCGAGAUGAGUUCUCCCUGAGACUUAGAGUCUCCUGAAGGAACGUUGAAGACGACGACGUUGAUAGGCCGGGUGUGUAAGCGCAGC
rnacentral:rRNA from 1 species